GCGAACCGGGGGAACUGAAACAUCUAAGUACCCCGAGGAAAAGAAAUCAACCGAGAUUCCCCCAGUAGCGGCGAGCGAACGGGGAGCAGCCCAGAGUCUGAAUCAGCUUGUGUGUUAGUGGAACGGUCUGGAAAGUCCGACGGUACAGGGUGAUAGUCCCGUACACCAAAAUGCACAGGUUGUGAACUCGAAGAGUAGGGCGGGACACGUGGUAUCCUGUCUGAAUAUGGGGGGACCAUCCUCCAAGGCUAAAUACUCCUGACUGACCGAUAGUGAACCAGUACCGUGAGGGAAAGGCGAAAAGAACCCCGGCGAGGGGAGUGAAAAAGAACCUGAAACCGUGUACGUACAAGCAGUGGGAGCACCUUCGGGUGUGACUGCGUACCUUUUGUAUAAUGGGUCAGCGACUUAUAUUCUGUAGCAAGGUUAACCGUAUAGGGGAGCCGCAGGGAAACCGAGUCUUAACUGGGCGUUAAGUUGCAGGGUAUAGACCCGAAACCCGGUGAUCUAGCCAUGGGCAGGUUGAAGGUUGGGUAACACUAACUGGAGGACCGAACCGACUAAUGUUGAAAAAUUAGCGGAUGACUUGUGGCUGGGGGUGAAAGGCCAAUCAAACCGGGAGAUAGCUGGUUCUCCCCGAAAGCUAUUUAGGUAGCGCCUCGUGAACUCAUCUUCGGGGGUAGAGCACUGUUUCGGCUAGGGGGUCAUCCCGACUUACCAACCCGAUGCAAACUACGAAUACCGAAGAAUGUUAUCACGGGAGACACACGGCGGGUGCUAACGUCCGUCGUGAAGAGGGAAACAACCCAGACCGCCAGCUAAGGUCCCAAAGUCAUGGUUAAGUGGGAAACGAUGUGGGAAGGCACAGACAGCCAGGAUGUUGGCUUAGAAGCAGCCAUCAUUUAAAGAAAGCGUAAUAGCUCACUGGUCGAGUCGGCCUGCGCGGAAGAUGUAACGGGGCUAAACCAUGCACCGAAGCUGCGGCAGCGACACUAUGUGUUGUUGGGUAGGGGAGCGUUCUGUAAGCCUGCGAAGGUGUGCUGUGAGGCAUGCUGGAGGUAUCAGAAGUGCGAAUGCUGACAUAAGUAACGAUAAAGCGGGUGAAAAGCCCGCUCGCCGGAAGACCAAGGGUUCCUGUCCAACGUUAAUCGGGGCAGGGUGAGUCGACCCCUAAGGCGAGGCCGAAAGGCGUAGUCGAUGGGAAACAGGUUAAUAUUCCUGUACUUGGUGUUACUGCGAAGGGGGGACGGAGAAGGCUAUGUUAGCCGGGCGACGGUUGUCCCGGUUUAAGCAUGUAGGCUGGUUAUCCAGGCAAAUCCGGAUAAUCAAGGCUGAGGUGUGAUGACGAGGCACUACGGUGCUGAAGUAACAAAUGCCCUGCUUCCAGGAAAAGCCUCUAAGCAUCAGGUAACAUCAAAUCGUACCCCAAACCGACACAGGUGGUCAGGUAGAGAAUACCAAGGCGCUUGAGAGAACUCGGGUGAAGGAACUAGGCAAAAUGGUGCCGUAACUUCGGGAGAAGGCACGCUGGUGUGUAGGUGAAGCCCCUGCGGGUGGAGCUGAGACCAGUCGAAGAUACCAGCUGGCUGCAACUGUUUAUUAAAAACACAGCACUGUGCAAACACGAAAGUGGACGUAUACGGUGUGACGCCUGCCCGGUGCCGGAAGGUUAAUUGAUGGGGUUAUCCGUAAGGAGAAGCUCUUGAUCGAAGCCCCGGUAAACGGCGGCCGUAACUAUAACGGUCCUAAGGUAGCGAAAUUCCUUGUCGGGUAAGUUCCGACCUGCACGAAUGGCGUAAUGAUGGCCAGGCUGUCUCCACCCGAGACUCAGUGAAAUUGAACUCGCUGUGAAGAUGCAGUGUACCCGCGGCAAGACGGAAAGACCCCGUGAACCUUUACUAUAGCUUGACACUGAACAUUGAGCCUUGAUGUGUAGGAUAGGUGGGAGGCUUUGAAGCGUGGACGCCAGUCUGCGUGGAGCCAACCUUGAAAUACCACCCUUUAAUGUUUGAUGUUCUAACGUUGGCCCCUGACCGGGGUUGCGGACAGUGUCUGGUGGGUAGUUUGACUGGGGCGGUCUCCUCCCAAAGCGUAACGGAGGAGCACGAAGGUUAGCUAAUCCUGGUCGGACAUCAGGAGGUUAGUGCAAUGGCAUAAGCUAGCUUGACUGCGAGCGUGACGGCGCGAGCAGGUGCGAAAGCAGGUCAUAGUGAUCCGGUGGUUCUGAAUGGAAGGGCCAUCGCUCAACGGAUAAAAGGUACUCCGGGGAUAACAGGCUGAUACCGCCCAAGAGUUCAUAUCGACGGCGGUGUUUGGCACCUCGAUGUCGGCUCAUCACAUCCUGGGGCUGAAGUAGGUCCCAAGGGUAUGGCUGUUCGCCAUUUAAAGUGGUACGCGAGCUGGGUUUAGAACGUCGUGAGACAGUUCGGUCCCUAUCUGCCGUGGGCGCUGGAGAAUUGAGGGGGGCUGCUCCUAGUACGAGAGGACCGGAGUGGACGCAUCACUGGUGUUCGGGUUGUCAUGCCAAUGGCACUGCCCGGUAGCUAAAUGCGGAAGAGAUAAGUGCUGAAAGCAUCUAAGCACGAAACUUGCCCCGAGAUGAGUUCUCCCUGAGACUUUAAGUCUCCUGAAGGAACGUUGAAGACGACGACGUUGAUAGGCCGGGUGUGUAAGCGCAGCGAUGCGUUGAGCUAACCGGUACUAAUGAACCGUGAGGCUUAACCUU
rnacentral:rRNA from 1 species